rnacentral:rRNA from 1 species
AGGGCACCACCAGGGGUGGAGCCUGCGGCUUAAUUUGACUCAACACGGGGAAACUCAUCCGGUCCGGACACCGUGAGGAUUGACAGAUUGAGAGCUCUUUCUUGAUUUGGUGGGCAGUGGUGCAUGGCCGUUCUUAGUUGGUGGAGUGAUUUGUCUGGUUUAUUCCGAUAACGAACGAGACUCUGGCCUACUAACUAGUUGCGCGAUUGAGGAGUCGUGCCAACUUCUUAGAGGGACAAGCGGUGCUCAGCCGCAUGAAAAAGAGCAAUAACAGGUCUGUGAUGCCCUUCGAUGUUCGGAGCUGCACGCGCGCUACACUGUGAGUGGCAGCAUGUUAGCUUGCCUCGCUCGCAAGAGUGGGGUAAUCGGUUGAAAAUCUCACGUGAUUGGGAUAGGGACUUGUAAUUAUUUCCCUUGAACGAGGAAUCCCUAGUAAGUGCAGGUCAUCAGCUUGCGCUGAUUACGUCCCUGCCCUUUGUACACGCCGCCCGUCGCUGCCCGGAACUGAAGCAUCUCGAG